GUUGUCUGGCACAAGGCUUGACACUCUACAGAGCUGGAGAGAAGACAUUCCAGCUAUUGGACAGGGGCCAUGGAGAGGAACCUGGGAGCUGUGCUGGGGAUUCUGUGGAUGCAGAUUUGCUGGGUGAGAGGAGAUGAGGUGGAGCAGAGUCCUUUGGCCUUCAGUCUCCAAGAGGGAACCAGUUCUGUUCUGAGAUGCAAGUUUUCUACCACCAUGACAUAUGUGCAGUGGUUCCGACAGCAUCCCAGGGGCAGCCUCAUCAAUCUUUUUAACCUGGUUCCAGGAACAAAGGAGAUUGGGAGGUUAAAUUCAACAUUCAAUUCUAAAGAGCGCUACAGCACCCUGCACAUCAGGGAUGCCCAGCUGGAGGACUCAGGCACCUACCUCUGUGCGGCCAGGGCACAGUGCUCCCAGCAAGCCUAG